rnacentral:rRNA from 1 species
UACGUAGGCAGCGAGCGUUGUUCGGAGUUACUGGGCGUAAAGGGUGUGUAGGCGGUUCUUUAAGUUUGGUGUGAAAUCUCCCGGCUCAACCGGGAGGGUGCGCCGAAUACUGAGGGACUCGAGUGCGGGAGAGGAAAGUGGAAUUCCUGGUGUAGCGGUGAAAUGCGUAGAUAUCAGGAGGAACACCGGUGGUGUAGACGGCUUUCUGGGCCGUAACUGACGCUGAGACACGAAAGCGUGGGUAGCAAACAGG